AGUAGACGUUCAGAGUUUGAUCCUGGCUCAGGAUGAACGCUAGCGGGAGGCCUAACACAUGCAAGCCGAGCGGUAUUUGUCCUUCGGGACAGAGAGAGCGGCGUACGGGUGCGGAACACGUGUGCAACCUGCCUUUAUCUGGGGGAUAGCCUUUCGAAAGGAAGAUUAAUACCCCAUAAUAUAUCGAAUGGCAUCAUUCGAUAUUGAAAACUCCGGUGGAUAGAGAUGGGCACGCGCAAGAUUAGAUAGUUGGUGAGGUAACGGCUCACCAAGUCAGUGAUCUUUAGGGGGCCUGAGAGGGUGAUCCCCCACACUGGUACUGAGACACGGACCAG
rnacentral:rRNA from 1 species